UACAGAGGUCCCAAGCGUUGUUCGGAUUCACUGGGCGUAAAGGGUGCGUAGGUGGCCAGGUAAGUCUGAUGUGAAAGCUCGGAGCUUAACUCCGAAAUGGCAUUGGAAACUACUUGGCUCGAGGAUUGGAGGGGGGACUGGAAUACUUGGUGUAGCAGUGAAAUGCGUAGAUAUCAAGUGGAACACCAGUGGCGAAGGCGAGUCCCUGGACAAUUCCUGACACUGAGGCACGAAAGCUAGGGGAGCAAACGGG
rnacentral:rRNA from 1 species